rnacentral:rRNA from 1 species
UACGUAGGGGGCUAGCGUUGUCCGGAUUUAUUGGGCGUAAAGAGCGUGUAGGCGGCCAGGUAGGUCUGCUGUGAAAACUCGAGGCUCAACCUCGAGACGUCGGCGGAAACCAUCUGGCUAGAGUCCGGAAGAGGAGAGUGGAAUUCCUGGUGUAGCGGUGAAAUGCGCAGAUAUCAGGAAGAACACCCGUGGCGAAGGCGGUUCUCUGGGCCUGUACUGACGCUGAGGAGCGAAAGCGUGGGGAGCGAACAGG